UACAGAGGUCUCAAGCGUUGUUCGGAUUCAUUGGGCGUAAAGGGUGCGUAGGCGGCGCGGUAAGUCGGGUGUGAAAUCUUGGAGCUUAACUCCGAAACUGCAUUCGAUACUGCCGUGCUUGAGGACUGGAGAGGAGACUGGAAUUUACGGUGUAGCGGUGAAAUGCGUAGAUAUCGGGAGGAACACCAGUGGCGAAGGCGGCUUCCUGGCCUGUUCUUGACGCUG
rnacentral:rRNA from 1 species